AACGUAGGAGGCGAGCGUUAUCCGGAGUUACUGGGCGUAAAGCGCGCGUAGGCGGUGGGGUAAGUGACUUGUGAAAAUGCCCGGCUAAACUGGGCGAGGUCAGGUCAGACUGCCUUACUAGAGGGUGGUAGAGGAGUGCGGAAUUCGGGGUGUAGCGGUGAAAUGUGUAGAGAUCCCGAGGAACACCAGUGGCGCAAGCGGCGCUCUGGGCCACUACUGACGCUGAGGCGCGAAAGCGUGGGGAGCGAACGGG
rnacentral:rRNA from 1 species